GUGCCAGCAGCCGCGGUAAUACGUAGGUGGCAAGCGUUAUCCGGAAUUAUUGGGCGUAAAGCGCGCGCAGGUGGUUUCUUAAGUCUGAUGUGAAAGCCCACGGCUCAACCGUGGAGGGUCAUUGGAAACUGGGAGACUUGAGUGCAGAAGAGGAAAGUGGAAUUCUAUGUGUAGCGGUGAAAUGCGUAGAGAUUUGGAGGACCACCAGUGGCGAAGGCGAGUUUCUGGUCUGUAACUGACACUGAGGCGCGAAGGAGUGGGGGG
rnacentral:rRNA from 1 species